rnacentral:lncRNA from 1 species
UUUUAGAAGUUUUUGGAGAUGCUGUGUAAGUUGAUUCAUAUUGGACCAAGAGACUGCCCAAGACAGUGAACACAACAAUUCUUCCUUGCCGAUUGAACCCUGGUACGGUAAGUAAUUUACAUCAUGGUACAAACUGGAACCAGUGCGCGCUCACGUGCAUCCGAACACCUAGAUAUCCGCAGCGGUGGCCGGUGGGCGGUGGCGCCUCCACCCCCUCACUUGCCGGGCACAAAGUUGGUGGCAUAGGCCCAUGCGUUGUUGUUGACGGGGUCGGCGAGGUGGUCGGCGAGGUUCUCGAGCGGGCCCUUGCCGGUGACGAUGGCCUGGACGAAGAACCCGAACAUGGAGAACAUGGCGAGGCGGCCGUUCUUGAGCUCCUUCACCUUGAGCUCCGCGAAGGCCUCAGGGUCGUCGGCGAGGCCGAGCGGGUCGAAGCUGCCGCCGGGGUAGAGCGGGUCGACGACCUCUCCGAGCGGGCCGCCGGCGACGCGGUACCCCUCGAUGGCGCCCAUGAGCACGACCUGGCAGGCCCAGAUGGCGAGGAUGCUCUGCGCGUGGAUCAGGCUCGGGUUGCCGAGGUAGUCCAGCCCACCCUCGCUGAAGAUCUGCGACCCGGCCUUGAACCACACGGCCUCGCCGAACUUGACGCCGUUGCGGGCGAGCAGCUCCGGGAACACGCAGCCCAACGCGCCCAGCAUGGCCCAGCGGGAGUGGAUGACCUCCAGCUCCCGGUUCUUGGCGAACGUCUCCGGGUCCGCCGACAGCCCCGCGGUGUCCCAGCCGUAGUCGCCCGGGAACUCGCCCGUCAGGUAGCUCGGGGGCGCGCCGGACAGCGGGCCCAGGUAGAGCACGCGGUCGGGGCCGUACCACGGGCUGCCGGAGCUCGCCGCCGGCUUUGCCUUCGCCGCCGUCUUGCGCAUCGUCACGCGGGCCUCGCCGAAGAGAGACGACGGCACGUUCACUGCCUUGCCGGCGAAGGCUGUGGAGGAGAGGGCCAUGGUGCUGCUCGCCAUUGCGCUGCUUCUGCUUGCACUGGUUUUAUGUGAUGGCGAGGAGUGUGAAGACUUGAGAUGCUGUGGAGACGAGGAGACGACGGAGGUAUUUAAAGAGCAGAGCAGAUGGAGGGAAACACCGCCGCGACGCGAAGCGUUGUUGCAGAAAAGAUCUGUUGCUCGGAUGCCAUUGGUGCGUCCGGGAUGCCGGAACACUUGGCGCCACCGGAGCCUCACGCAGAUGAGGUAGCUCUGGCUGAGGCUAGGAAUCUCCGCGGAGAAGGCUGAUUGGGCGCCCGGGAUUUUGCGUUGGUUAUGGAUUUUUCUUCAGACAGCCUCUCUCUUUUUUAGCUCUCUCUAAGAGCAGACCUAUAAAAAUAUCUUAUAAUUUAAAAAUAAAUAUAUUUUAUAGAAUUUAGUGCACUCAUAAAACAUCAUAUUCUAACAGUAAAUCAAAUUUAUAUUAUAAGACAGCUCAGUACCGUUUAGUAUAUUUGAGUCACUUGAGCGAGAUGGUGUAUAAUUUUUUGACCAAAUUUUUUUUAUGAAAUGAGACUCGAUUGAAUUAUUUUUUCCUACGUAGAGCCACAUAUUUUAAUUUAAAACAUUAAGAUUUUCACUUGAAGCAACGGCAAGAAAGCAAAUUGUAUUUUUGGUGAAAGAGAUUGUCUUAGCGACAGACUGAUAGUGAAACAAGCUUGCUGGCGGUUUUAACGACCUCUUUCUGUGAAACUGAUAAUCGACUUUUUAACGUGUUGCUGUUUACAACCACUAUAAAUUUGUAACUUUUCAGUUGUCCUGACAGACCGUAAAAAAAAGGCCACAGCAUGCCGCCCUUGCCAUUUCUCAUCGGCAGCUUUCGAUCAAUCCUAGCCUCGUGACCAGUCGCGGAUAAGGACACAAUUGCAUAUUUGCAACCAGGGCCGGCGCCAAGGGUGUGCAGGAUAUGCGACUGCUCAGAGCCUCAAGGUUCGUAGGGCUCCCAUUUAUCUAUCUUAUAUCAAAUGCAUAUAAGUUAUAGAUAAAUCUAUAUUUUCAUUCUUUUGUUGCGUCUCUUUAUUUUCUAGCAAUCAUCUCUUUGAGGUCGCGCAACCGUCUGCUUGAUGACAAAUACUUUGGCCUGUUUGGUUUACUACCUAACUUGCCAUACUUUGCCUAACUUUUCUGCAUAAGGUUAGUUCUUCAAUUCGGACGACUAACCUUAGGCAAAGUGUGGCAUAAUUAGCCGUGAACCAAACAGGCCCUAAAAUUGACGUGGGAAGGACGAAAGGUGUUGUACACCUGUGCCUAUCGCGUUGCUUAAUUCUAGCCUACCGAAGGGUCGACCCUAAUAACCUACAUUGAUUAAUCCUAGUUUAGUUUGCUGAACUUUAUUUUCAGAAAAUUUGAUCUAAUGUAUUUAGAUUUGGUUUACUGUGUAUUUUAAGGUUUAGGCUAGUUUGACAAAUUAAAAGUAAAAAUACUCUCUCAAAAGUCAAAACAAAUGUAUAUUACAUAAUUUAUAUAAUUUUACGACUCAUAAAAUACUGUAACAAUAUUUCCAGUCAUAUCAUUUUGAAUAAAAUUAUGUAAAUCAUCAAUUUUUUAUUUUUCAUAUAUUAUUUAAAAGUUGAAAAAAUAACAGACUCAAAUUUUCGUAUAGGACCUCUAUAUAAAUUUUCUCUUAGGGCCCCCGAAAUGUCAAGACCGGGCCUGUUUGCAACAUAGCAUAAGACAUGCCAAACUCCAAGUAUAAGGCCAGUGCCUUACUAUAUUCAUUACACCAAUAAGAACAUUCAAUAAAUUAAAUUAAUCAAUUAGCUAUUUCUCCGUCUCGAGCAUAGAGCCAAGACACAAUGACUUCGUUAAGAGACGUAUCUAUUUUUUUUACAUUUACUCCUUAAACACAUCCAAAGACACAUAUUGUACAUGUCCUAAUGUUAUCUUAAACAAUUGUUUCGUAAAAACAGGACUAAAUCGUCUAAUUGAUUAAGCUGCAAUUUGGCGUAUUCUCUUCCUUUUCUAAUCUAGUUUUAUGUAUUUUGUGCUUGACUAGACAAUUCUACCCUUCUACGAUUAUACGUAUAAAUUGAAACUUACUUAGAGCUAGUUUGGGAACCUUAUUUUCUCAAGGAAAAUUAGUUCAUUUUCCCUUAGAAAAUGAAAAUCUCUUAGAAAAAUGAGGUUCCCAAAAUAGUCCUUACAAUAGGCGUUUCAUCGGGAAUAUGAAGGAUCGCUCGCCACUUCACCACGCUAGUAGAAGGCAGACACCAGGAAAACUAGGACGUAUGCGAUCGCUAGGAACAUCAACAUCAUAUAACAGCAGGACCUGAAAAGUUCGUGCUCGGUGCGGUGGCCUCCAUGCCCAGCAUAACAGCACUGCUACUCAUUUUCGGCGGCCAUUGUUAUUUUCAGCGGUUUCUGACAUAGCCGCCGAAAAUAGGCUUAUUUUCGGCGGCCGCGCCUUGGCCGCCGAAAAUUAACCGUUUUAAACGGCUCCUGGCUCCUUUCUUCCUUCCUCUUUCCUCUCCACGCCACCGCUCUCAACUCUACCAGCCGCACACCGCUCUCUGCUCCAGUCGCGCCACCCGCGCCACGCUCGCGUAGCCUAGGCUCGUCGUGCCGCCCCCGUCUCGCCGCUCCCCCUCGCCUGGCAGCGCCCCGAGCCCUUCUCCAUAAAUAGGUUAUUUUUUGUAUUUUAUUUCAUAUUUUCGGCGACCGUUAUUUAAUUACCGCCAAAAUUUGUAUAUAUUUGUAAUUGUUGUUUAUUUGAUUAGUGUAUGUGAUUAGUAUUAUUGUUCAGUUCGGUUUCAUUAAUGUAUUUUGGUAUAUGUGUUCAGUAAUUAGGUGUAUAUUAUAUUUGUGGCAUUACUUUCAUAUUAAUAUGUGAACUAUUAUAUUAUUAGCUUUAUAAGUACAUUAUAUUGGUAUGUCGUACAAUUAUAUAUUAGUGGUAUGUGGUACUUAGUCUGAUUUGGUUAAUAGCAUAUCAUUCUUUGUUUAGUAUAUAAGUAAUAUAUUGUUUAGUGGCAGCGAGGUUAUGCUGCCGAAAUUUUCUUUGGGUCCUGCUACCUUGUGGGUUUAGAACCUAACCUUGCCUAUAGAUGUAGGACCGAUACCCUUGACGAAGUUGAAUAAUGUUUUCACGAUAUGGUUCGGUUUAACAGUCUCAGGCAUGGCUAAAGAUCGUGCAUGGAUGUACAAUGACUGGAGUAGGAAUGGACGUCAUUCUGAUGAUUAGGUAUCCAAGACCAAAGAUUUUGUGGACCAUGUAUUCUCCUUGUCAUUAACCAGCACUGUUAGAUGCCCUUGUAGGCGGCACGAAAACAAUAUAUUCCUUAAUAAGGAAAGAGUUAGUCUAGAUCCUUAUCAGUUUGGAUUUAUGCUCGGAUAUGAGGUGUGGGAACAUCAUGGUGAGGUAGUACCCAACCCGAGUGUAGAAGAAGAGGAGAACAAUGAUUGGGCUGGCGAUGAUGCGAUGCAUGAGAUGCUAGAUUCGCUAUAUCUAUAGUUAAAUCUAAGCUUCGAGGAUCCUGCCACACCAGAGGUUUUCAGAUUUUUUAAACUACUAAAAGACUCUGAAGAGUCGUUGCAUGAACACACAGAUGUGAGUACACUCGCUUUUGUGACCCGUCUCAUGGCCAUUAAGUCCAAGUAUUUUUUUUCUCGAACAACUGUUACAAUGAGAUUUUAAAGUUAUUAGGAGAUGUGCAGCCAAAGCCCAAUAAGUUGCCUAAAGACAUGUACCAUUCGAAGACAAUUAUCAAAAGUCUUGGUAUGGAUUAUAAAAAGAUUGAUGUGUGCAAAAAAAUUGUAUGCUUUUCAUGAAGGAGCAUGCGGGAGAGAAAAAUGUCUGAAAUAUGGACAAUCUAGAUUUGUAAAAGUUGUUAAUGAUGAGGGUAACAAGGUGAUGACAGAUGUUGCACAUAAACAGCUUCGCUACUUGCCACUAACUCCUCGAGUGAAACGGUUGUUUCUAUCUAAAAACUGUUAUGCACAUGCAAUGGCACAAAGAAGGUGUCCGUUAGAAUGAUGAGCUAAUGGUGCAGACUUCAGAUGGGGAUGCUUGGAAGGCUCUCGACAUGUUUGAUCCAGACUUUGCAGCCGAACCGAGUAAUGUUCGAAUCGGCCUCGCGACCGAUGGCUUCACACCUUUUGGUCAAAUGGCAUCAUCAUACUCAUGUUGGUCUGUCUUUGUUAUUCCAUACAACCUUCCACCUUCUCUUUGUAUGAAAUAUGAAUUUAUAUUUCUACGCUUAAUCAAACCUGGCCCGGACCAUCCUGGAAAGAAACUGAAUGUCAUGUUAAAACCCUUGAUUGAAGAGCUGAAGGAGCUUUGGAAAGGAGUCGAAGCAUACAAUGUUUUAAAAAUAGAUUUUCAAACUUUGAGUUGUGUAUUUGUGGUCGGUGCAUGACUUCAUCGCGUAUGCUAUUUUUGCCAGUAGGAGUACACAUGGUAGAUUGACAUGUCCAUAUUGCGGUUCAGAUACAGAUUGUUUCUGUCUUACUCAUGGUGGAAAGAUCACUUACUUCGAUUGCCAUCGACGCUGGUUGUGAAAGUCGCCUAGAGGGGGCUGAAUAGGCGAAACCUGAAAAUUAUAAACUUUGAACAUGCACUUUACUCGAGGUUAGGGUUAGAAAUAAAUAAUAGUGAAUUCGGAGUGCAGAAGAUAGUUUUCCUUGCUAUGAGUUGCUCAAUCAAUGCGGAUAACUUUGGGAGAAAACUCAAAACAAUGUGAGCAAGAGAACUUUAGAGAGAGAGGAGAGGGGAGAAACAAAUUGACUAGGGAAGAUCAACACAAGUGGACACAGUGAAAGUGAAAUGUGCCCUUGGGCCAUUUCUAAGUAUUUUGGUGAUCAAGUGCCAACACAAGUGGUUUAAGUAUGAAACUAUGUCAAAUGGUGGAAGAAGUGCAAUGUCAACACAAAGGUAUGAUUCUAGACUUAGUACAUUGGUUUUGUGUACUAACAUAUUUGUCUAAGUGCUAGAAUCAGAGAAAAUACAAUUGGAAAAGACUUGGCUCGAGCAGCCAAGACUCUGCUCAGUCUACUGUCCGGUGCACCAAGCUGGCGUUUGGUCAACUGGCUGCUCUCGGGUCUCGACGGCGGCGUACGAUUAUAAAUCACCGGACUGUCCGGUGGUGCACCGGACUGUCCGGUGAGUCGUCUGCGGCGAAGUCGCUGCUCUCGGGAACCAAGUCAACAGCGUACGGCUAUAAUUCACCGGACUGUCCGGUGAGCCAACGGUCGAGCGCGCCAACGGUUGGCCGCGCAAUCCGCGCGUGACGCGUGGCCAAGCCAACGGUCAGAAGGGGGCACCGGACUGUCCGGUGCGCCAACGGCUCCAAGUCUUCAAUGGUCGGCUGCGCCAGAAUAGGAAAGAAAUCCGCACCGGACUGUCCGGUGCGCCAGUCGAUAGAAGGCAAGAUUUGCCUUCCUGGAUUGCUCUCAACGGCUCCUAGCUGCCUUGGGGCUAUAAAAGGGACCCCUAGGCGCAUGAAGGAGUACACCAAGCAUACUUUGAGCAUCCUUGAUCAUUCACACUCCGUCUUUGCGCACUCAUUUGACAUUCUUAGUGAUUUGAGCUCCGUUCUAGUGAGAGCUUUGUGAUAUUCUUUUGAGCUCAAGUCUUGGUCGUGUGUGUGCGUAUUGCUGUGGAUUUGUGUGUGUUUGCUUCCCUCACUUACUCUAGUGCUUUCACUUUGAUCCUUAUUGUAAGGGCGAGAGACUCCAAGUUGUGGAGAUUCCUCGCAAACGGAAAAGAGUAAAGAAAAGAAGAACACCGUGGUAUUCAAGUUGAUCAUUGGAUCACUUGAGAGGAGUUGAGUGCAACUCUCGUCCAUUGGGACGCCACAACGUGGAGUAGGCAAGUGUUGUACUUGGCCGAACCACGGGAUAAAUCCUCGUGUCUCUUGUGCUUGUUCUCACUGUGUCUAUUGUGCUUCACAAGAGCUCUCCUUAGCCACUUGAUUUCAUUGUGCUAACUCCUAAUCAAGUUUUGUGGCUUUAAAGUUUCAAGUAUUUGCAGGAUCACCUAUUCACCCCCCCUCUAGGUGCUCUCAAUUGGUAUCGGAGCCGUUCUCUUCAAGAAAGGGACUAAUCGCCCAAAGAGAUGGAUCCUAAGGGAAAGGGGAUGGUGGUCAACGACAAUGAGAAGGAGUCCAUCUUCAACGAGCCAAGGGACGACAAAGCCAAUGACUCCGGCUCGAGUCAAAAGAAGAAGGAUGGAAAGAAGAAGAGGCGCAUCAAGAAGAUUGUCUACUACGACAGCGACGAAUCUUCCUCUUCUCAAAAAGGACGACGAAUACGAGGAGAAAAAGAAAACGGUUAACUUGAACUUUUCUUUCGAUUAUUCUCGUAUUCCGCAUAAUUCCAAUGCUCAUUUGCUUUCCAUUCCACUUGGUAAACCUCCCCACUUUGAUGGAGAGGACUACGGAUUUUGGAGUCACAAAAUGCGUAGCCACUUGUUUUCUCUUCAUCCAAGUAUAUGGGAGAUAGUAGAAAAUGGGAUGCGAUUUGAUAGUUCGGAUAACUCCAUGUUUAUCAAUGAACAAAUCCAUAAAAAUGCACAAGCUACUACUGUUCUUUUAGCAUCCUUGUGCAGGGAAGAGUACAAUAAGGUGAGCAGCUUGGACAACGCCAAGCAGAUUUGGGACACCCUCAAGAUCUCGCAUGAGGGGAACGACGUCACCAUGCUCACCAAGAUGGAGUUGGUGGAAGGCGAACUAGGAAGGUUCGCAAUGAUCAGGGGAGAGGAGCCAACUCAAACGUACAAUAGGCUCAAGACCCUGGUCAACAAGAUAAGAAGCUAUGGAAGCACGAGAUGGAUGGACCACGACGUCGUCCGACUUAUGCUAAGGUCCUUCACUGUCCUUGAUCCUCAUCUUGUAAACUCUAUUCGUGUGAAUCCUAGGUACAUCAAGAUGACGCCCGAGGAAAUACUCGGGAAGUUUGUAAGCGGGCGAAUGAUGAUCAAGGAGGCGAGAUACGUUGAUGAGGCAUUGAAUGGCCCAAUCUAUGAGCCUCAAACUGUUGCUCUCAAAGCAACAAGUAGCAGGGAGGCGCUACCUAGCAAAGUGGCGCAAGUUGAAGCGGCCGGACUAAAUGAAGAUGAAAUGGCCCUCAUCAUCAAGCGCUUCAAGACAACGCUCAAAUGUCGCAAGGAGCAUCCCAACAAGAGCAAGACGAAGGGGAAGCGCUCCUGCUUCAAGUGUGGUAAGGUUGGUCACUUUAUUGCUAACUGUCCUAAUAAUGAUAGUGACCAGGAUCAAGAAAAGAAGAGGGAAAAGAAAAAGACUUACAAGAAAGCAAAGGGCGAGGCACACCUUGGCAAAGAGUGGGACUCGGAUUGCUCUUCAUCCGACGACGAAGGACUUGCCGCCUCGGCCUUCAACAAAUCAUCCCUCUUCCCCAACGAACAUCACACCUGCCUCAUGGCAAAGGAAAAGAAGGUAUGCACUAGGGAUACUAUUACAUAUGCUUCUUCAAGUGAUGAUGAAUCUAGUGAUGAUGAAAUAGACUAUGCAAGUUUAUUCAAAGGUUUAGAUAGAACUAAAAUUGAUAGAAUCAAUGAAUUAAUUGAUGCUUUGAAUGACAAGAAUAGAUUGUUAGAAAAGCAAGAGGAUCUUUUGUACGAAGAGCAUGAUAAAUUUGUAGAUGUCCAAAAAUCUCUUGCUCUAGAAGUUAAAAGGAACGAAAUGCUUUCUUGUGAAUUAUCUACAUGCCAUGAGACUAUCUCUAGUUUAAAAAGUGUUAAUGAUGAUUUAAAUGCUAAGCUAGAAGUAGCAAAUAGAUCUAGUUCUUGUGUAGAACAUGCAGUGAUUUGCAAUAGGUGUAAGGACUUUAAUGUCGAUGCAUGUGUUGAGCAUCUUACUUCUAUUGCAAAACUAAAUGGUGAAGUGGCUAGUCUUAAUGCCCAACUUAAGACUAGCAAAAAUGAAUUUGAUAAACUAAAAUUUGCAAGGGAUGCCUACACUGUUGGUAGACACCCCUCAAUUAAGGAUGGACUUGGCUUUAAGAGGGAAGCCAAGAACUUAACAAGUCAUAAGGCUCCCAUCUCCGCCAAGGAGAAAGGGAAGGCCCCUAUGGCUAAUAAUAUUCAAAAGAAUCAUGCUUUCAUUUAUAGUGAUAGAAAGUUCUCUAGAAAUGCUUAUAGGAAUUAUUCUUAUGAUUCAUAUGUUAUGCCUGCUUCUAGUUAUUCUAUUGUGCAUGAUAUGCCUAGGAAAAAUGUUAUUCAUCAUACGCCUAGGAAAAAUGUUGUUCAUGUACCUAGGAAUGUAAGUAAUGAACACUCUACAAUUUACCAUGCUUGCAAUGCUUCCUUUGCAAUUUGUAGAAAGGAUAAGAAAGUGAUUGCUAGGAAAUUAGGGGCAAAAUGCAAGGGAGAUAAGACUUGCAUUUGGGUCCCUAAGACGAUUGUAACUAACCUUGUAGGACCCAACAAGAGUUGGGUACCUAAGACCCAAGCCUAAUUUGCCUUGCAGGUUUAUGCAUCAGGGGGAUCAAGCUGGAUUAUCGACAGCGGAUGCACAAACCACAUGACGGGGGAGAAGAAGAUGUUCACCUCCUACGUCAAGAACAAGGAUUCCCAAGAAUCAAUCAUAUUCGGUGACGGGAAUCAAGGCAAGCUGAAAGGACUAGGAAAAAUAGCUAUUUCUUCCGAGCAUUCCAUCUCUAAUGUGUUUUUAGUUGAAUCACUCGGAUAUAACUUGUUGUCCGUUAGUCAAUUAUGUAAUAUGGGAUAUAAUUGCUUAUUCACAAAUGUAGAUGUGUCUGUCUUUAGAAGGAGUGAUGGUUCAUUAGCUUUUAAGGGUGUACUAGACGACAAACUCAAUUUAGUUGAUUUUGCAAAAGAGGAGGCCAGUCUAGAUGCAUGCUUAAUUGCUAAGACUAGCAUGGGCUGGCUGUGGCAUCGCCGUCUAGCACAUGUGGGGAUGAAGAACCUUCACAAGCUUCUAAAGGAAGAACAGGUGUUAGGUCUAACAAAUGUUACUUUCAAAAAAGAUAGACCUUGUGCAGCUUGUCAAGCAGGUAAACAAGUGGGAAGUGCGCAUCACAGCAAGAAUGUGAUGACCACAUCAAGACCCCUGGAGCUGCUGCAUAUGGACCUCUUCGGACCCGUCGCCUACCUUAGCAUCGGGGGAAGUAGGUAUGGUUUAGUAAUUGUUGAUGAUUUUUCCCGCUUCACUUGGGUAUUCUUUUUGCAGGAUAAAUCUGAAACCCAAGGGACCCUCAAAUGCUUCCUAAGGAGAGCUCAAAAUGAAUUUGAGCUCAAGGUGAAGAAGAUAAGGAGCGACAACGGGUCCGAGUUCAAGAACCUUCAAGUGGAAGAGUACCUUGAGGAGGAAGGAAUCAAGCACGAGUUCUCCGCUCCCUACACACCAUAGCAAAAUGGUGUAGUAGAGAGGAAGAACAGGACACUCAUAGACAUGGUGAGGACGAUGCUUGGAGAAUUCAAGACACCCGAGCGGUUUUGGUCGGAAGCCGUGAACACAGCUUGCCACGCCAUAAACAGGGUCUAUCUCCAUCGCCUCCUCAAGAAAACUUCAUAUGAGCUUCUAACCGGUAACAAACCCAACGUUUCAUACUUUCGUGUAUUUGGGAGUAAAUGCUACAUUCUAGUGAAGAAAGGUAGAAAUUCCAAAUUUGCUCCCAAUACCGUAGAAGGGUUUUUGUUAGGUUAUGACUCAAAUACAAAGGCGUAUAGGAUCUUCAUCAAAUCAUCGGGUUUGGUUGAAGUCUCUAGCAACGUUGUAUUUGAUGAGACUAAUGGCUCUUCAAGAGAGCAAGUUGAUCCUAAUGAUGUAGAUGAAUAUGAUGUUCCAACGGACGCAAUUCGCACCAUGGCGACUGGAGAUGUGCGACCACAGGAACACCAAGAGUAAGAUCAACCUUCUUCCUCAACAAUGGUGCAUCCCCCAACUCAAGACGAUGAACAGGUUCAUCAAGAAGACACGUGUGAUCAAGGGGGAGCACAAGAUGAUCAUGUUAUGGAGGAAGAAGCACCUCAAGCCCCUCCAACCUAAGUUCGAGCGACGAUUCAAAGGAAUCAUCCCAUCGACCAAAUAUUGGGUGAUAUAAGCAAGGGAGUAACUACUCGCUCUAGAUUAGUUAAUUUUUGUGAGCGUUACUCUUUUGUCUCUUCUAUUGAGCCUUUCAGGGUAGAAGAGGCCUUGCUAGAUCUGGACUGGGUGUUGGCCAUGCAGGAGGAGCUCAACAACUUCAAGAGAAAUGAAGUUUGGACACUAGUGCCUCGUCCCAAGCAAAACGUUGUGGAAACCAAGUGGGUGUUCCGCAACAAGCAAGACAAGCACGGAGUGGUGACAAGGAACAAGGCUCGACUUGUGGCAAAAGGUUAUGCCCAAGUCGCAGGUUUGGACUUUGAGGAGACUUUUGCUCCUGUGGCUAGGCUAGAGUCCAUUCGCAUUUUGUUAGCCUAUGCUGCUCACCAUUCUUUUAGGUUGUUCCAAAUGGACGUGAAGAGCGCUUUCCUUAACGGGCCAAUCAAGGAGGAGGUGUACGUGGAGCAACCCCUGGCUUUGAGGAUGAACGGUACCCCGACCACGUGUGUAAGCUCUCUAAGGCGCUCUAUGGACUUAAGCAAGCCCCAAGAGCAUGGUAUGAAUGCCUUAGAGACUUUUUAAUUGCUAAUGCUUUCAAGGUUGGGAAAGCUGAUCCAUCUUUAUUCACUAAGACCUGUGAUGGCGAUUUAUUUGUGUGCCAAAUUUAUGUCGAUGACAUAAUAUUUGGUUCUACUAACCAAAAGUCUUGUGAAGAGUUUAGCAGGGUGAUGACUCAAAAGUUCGAAAUGUCGAUGAUGGGCGAGUUGAACUACUUCCUUGGGUUCCAAGUGAAGCAAAUCAAGGACGGCACUUUCAUCUCCCAAACGAAGUACACGCAAGACUUGAUCAAGCGGUUUGGGAUGAAGGACGCCAAGCCCGCAAAGACUCCAAUGGGAAUGGACGGACACGUCGACCUCAACAAAGGAGGUAAGUUCGUUGAUCAAAAAGCAUACCAGUCUAUGAUAGGUUCCUUGCUUUACUUAUGUGCUAGUAGACCGGAUAUUAUGCUUAGUGUAUGUAUGUGUGCUAGAUUUCAAUCCGAUCCAAGGGAGUGUCACUUAGUGGCCGUGAAGAGAAUCCUUAGAUAUUUAGUCGCUACGCCUUGCUUCGAGAUCUGGUAUCCAAAGGGGUCUACCUUUGACUUAAUUGGAUAUUCAGACUCCGAUUAUGCUAGAUGUAAGGUUGAUAGGAAGAGUACAUCAGGGACGUGCCAAUUCUUAGGAAGGUCCCUGGUGUCUUGGAGUUCUAAGAAACAAACUUCUGUUGCCCUAUCCACCGCUGAGGUCGAGUAUGUUGCCGCAGGUCAGUGUUGCGUGCAACUACUUUGGAUGAGGCAAACCCUCCGGGACUUUGGCUAUAAUCUGAGCAAAGUCCCACUCCUAUGUGAUAAUUAGAGUGCUAUCCGCAUGGCGGAUAAUCCUGUUGAACAUAGCCGCACAAAGCACAUAGACAUCCGGCAUCACUUUUUGAGAGACCACCAGCAAAAGGGAGAUAUCGAAGUGUUUUAUGUUAGCACCGAGAACCAGCUGGCCGAUAUCUUUACCAAGCCUUUAGAUGAAAAGACCUUUUGCAGGCUGCGUAGUGAGCUAAAUGUCUUAGAUUCGCGGAACUUGUAUUGAUUUGUAGCAUACAUGUGUCUUAUGCUUUGAUCAUGUUCUUUUAUGCAUAUUGUUGUUUAUUUAUGGUGCUCAAGUUGUACAAACACUCACCGGACCUCAAAAGUCCAUGUGUGAGUGAUGCACAUAUUUAGGGGGAGAUGUGCUACAACUUGACCCUUUGAGACUAACCGUGUGCUUGAGUUUACUUGAUUUAGUCUCAAAGGUGGAUUGAAAGGAAAAGGUGAACUUGGACCAUGCAAGACUUCCACUGCACUCCGAUGAGAGGGUAACUCACUCCAAGUUCAUCUCCAUAUUCUUAUUGCCUUUUUACUCUUAUUUGAAGAUUUUGGUGAGGCAAUGGGGUUUAAGGGCCAAAAAUGAUUCCGUUUUGGUGCUUGAUGCCAAAGGGGGAGAAAUUAAGGCCAAAGCAAGAAAUGGAUCAGCUAUCACUUGAGAAAUUUUGAAAAUAGUAGAGUUAGAGUUUUGUUUUGGCAAAAUACUCUUAUUGUCUCUUAUUAUCAAAAGUUGGCUUCUUGUGGGAAAAAGUUUAAUUAUGAGAAAAAGGGGAGUUUUUGAAUCUUUGAUCAAUUUCUAUUGGAAUACCUCUCUUUAUGUCUCAACAAGUGAGUUUGACUUAGAGAUAGGAAAUUGAGUUUGAUUUUCAAAAACAAACCAAGUGGUGGCAAAGAACGAUCCAAAUAUGCCAAAUUUGAUUCAAAACAAAUUGGUUUUCUCAUUUGCAUUGAUGUUACACUUCUUUUAGUUGCUUUUUGUUGUGUUGGCAUAAAUCACCAAAAAGGGGGAGAUUGAAAGUGAAAUGUGCCCUUGGGCCAUUUCUAAGUAUUUUGGUGAUCAAGUGCCAACACAAGUGGUUUAAGUAUGAAACUAUGCCAAAUGGUGGAAGAAGUGCAAAGUCAACACAAAGGUAUGAUUCUAGACUUAGUAUAUUGGUUUUGUGUACUAACAUAUUUGUCUAAGUGCUAGAAUCAGAGAAAAUACAAUUGGAAAAGACUUGGCUCGAGCAGCCAAGACUCUGCUCAAUCUGGGUGCACCGGACUGUCCGGUGGUGCACCGAACAGUGUCCGGUGCGCCAGGCUGGCGUCUGGUCAACUGGCUGCUCUCGGGUCUCGACAGCGGCGUACGGUUAUAAAUCAUCGGACUGUCCGGUGGUGCACCUGACUGUCCGGUGAGUCGUCUGCGGCGAAGUCGCUGCUCUCGGGAACCAAUUAAACAGCGUACGACUAUAAUUCACCGGACUGUCCGGUGAGCCAACGGUCGGGCGCGCCAAUGGUCGGCCGCGCAAUCCGCGCGUGACGCGUGGCCAAGCCAAUGGUCAGAAGGGGGCACCGGACUGUCCGGUGCGCCAACGGCUCCAAGUCUUCAACGGUCGACUGCGCCAGAAUAGGAAAGAAAUCCGCACCAGAUUGUCCGGUGCGCCAGUCGACAAAAGGCAAGAUUUGCCUUCCUAGAUUGCUCUCAACGGCUCCUAGCUGCCUUGGGGCUAUAAAAGGGACCCCUAGGCGCAUGAAGGAGUACACCAAGCAUACUUUGAGCAUCCUUGAUCAUUCACACUCCGUCUUUGCGCACUCAUUUGACAUUCUUAGUGAUUUGAGCUCCGUUCUAGUGAGAACUUUGUGAUAUUCGUUUGAGCUCAAGUCUUGGCCGUGUGUGUGCGUAUUGCUGUGGAUUUGUGUGUGUUUGCUUCCCUCGCUUACUCUAGUGCUUUCACUUUGAUCCUUAUUAUAAGGGCGAGAGACUCCAAGUUGUGGAGAUUCCUCACAAACGGGAAAGAGUAAAGAAAAGAAGAACACUGUGGUAUUCAAGUUGAUUAUUGGAUCACUUGAGAGGAGUUGAGUGCAACUCUCGUCCAUUGGGACGCCACAACGUGGAGUAGGCAAGUGUUGUACUUGGUCGAACCACGGGAUAAAUCCUCGUGUCUCUUGUGCUUGUUCUCACUUUGUCUAUUGUGCUUCACAAGAGCUCUCCUUAGCCACUUGAUUUCAUUGUGCUAACUCCUAAUCAAGUUUUGUGGCUUUAAAGUUUCAAGUAUUUACAGGAUCACUUAUUCACCCCCCUCUAGGUGCUCUCACACAGCGAUUUGUUUCCCGAGGUCUGGUUCUAAAGAACCUACUCCCCAUUGAGGAGGCCACAAAGGCUGGGUCUAUUUCAACCUUUUCCCUCUCUCAAUCAGUCACUUAGACCCGUCGAGUGCUUCUUCUUAAUCACACGGGUCACUAAGACUCCACAAGGAUCACCACACAAUUAGGUGUCUCUUGCUUGCUUUACAAAACACUUGGAAAGAUUAGAAUGAGAAGAAGAAAGCAACCAAGCAACAGGAGCAACAAAAGAAACACAAGUCACCCUCUCUCAAGUCACUAAACACUUUGAUCACUUGACUUGAUUUUGGAACUUGGAGAGGAUUGAAUGCUUUGAAUGUGUCUUUAGAGUGUAUUCUUUGCUCUUGUAUUGAAUGAGGAGAGUGGGAUGCUUGGAUUGCUUGAAUGGUGGUGGUUGGGAGGUAUUUAUAGUCCCAACCACUAUUUUAGUUGUUGGCUAAUUGCUCUGUCGAUGGGCACACCGGACAGUCCGGUGGUGCACCAGACACUCCACUGUUCACUGUCUGGUGAGUGCCACGUCAGCCGACCAUUGGGUUUUAGAGUGGUUGACCGUUGAAGUUGUCUGUCCUUUUGCUGCACCGGACAGUCCGGUGGCACACCGGACAGUCCGGUGCAACCUAUCGUCGCAGACUGUCUUCUGAUUUCUGGCAUUGCAAACUGCGCGCGUAGUCGCACAGUCGACCGUUGGGGGAAGUUGACCGUUGCUCGUUGUCUCAUCGGACAGUUUGGUGGUGCACCGGACAGUCCGGUGAAUUUUAGUGGACGAGCACCGAGAAUUCCCGAGAGCGGCCAGUUCGCGGAGCGCUCCAGCCAGAGCACCGGACAGUGUCCGGUGCGCCAUAGGCUGCACCGGUCUGUUUUGCUUCAACCAUGUAGAAUUCCCCCAAGGUCAUUUUCUUUGUAUGUGUAUAUGAACAUUAUGCACCUGAGAAAAAUAUUGACUACUGAAAGUCACCUAGAGGGGAUGAAUAGGCGAAGCCUAAAAUUUAUAAACUUUAAACACGCACUAAGGUCAGGGUUAGCGUUAGAAUUAAAUCAGAGUACAGACGAUAGUUCUGCUUGCCUAGAGUUGCUCAAUGAAUGCGGAUAACGUUUGGGAGCAAACUCAAAUCGAUAUGAGCAAGAGAAUUUUUAGAGAGAGGAAAGAGGGAAAACAAAUCAAGUGAAGAUCAACAAAUGAGCACGGUGAUUUGUUUACCGAGGUUCGGUUCUAAAGAACAUAGUCCCCGUUGAGGAGGCCACAAAGGCCAGGUCUAUUCCAACCCUUUCCCUCUCUCAACCGGUCACACAGGUCGGUCGAGGCUUCUCCUUAAUCACUUGGGUCACUAAGAACCCGUAAGGAUCACCACACACUUAGGUGUCUCUUGCAAGCUUUACAAAGCACUUAGAGAAUUAAGAAUGAGAAGGAGAAAGCAAUCCAAGCAAUAAGAGCAACAAAAGAACACAAAACACCCUCUCUCAAGUCACUAAGGAAUUGAGUUGAUUUGGUGGCACACCGGACAUGUCCGGUGCGUUCUGACUUCGCAGCCUGACAUGUGACUUCGCACUGUACACCUUUUGCAGUCGACCGUUGGCGCAGGUUACCGUUGCUCCCUUGGCUCACCGGACAUGUUCGGUGCACACCGGACAGUCCAAUGAAUUAUAGCGAAGCAACUCCAGAGAAAACCCGAGAGCGCCCUCUUUGGGUGGUGCUUGGCCUGGGGCACCGGACAGUGUCCGGUGCACACCGGACAUUGUCCGGUGCACCACUGGCAGCACUAUUCCAACACUUUGCUCCAAACUUUGUUGAGUCUCCAACUUAAUUUCUUUCUUGGUUUAUGUUGAACCUUAUGCACCUGAGAUAAAAGACAUCUGGGCAAACUAGUUAGUCCCUGUGAUUUGUGAUGGACGUCAACCACCAAAAUCGAUUAUAGGAAAUGAUUAAGCCCAUUUCCCUUUUGUUGGGGGCCUUCCUCUUCCGAUGGUUCUAAAAAACGUGACUAACCAUAUGUUUUCAGCAUGAUUAUGAAUAGUUACAAGAAGCUUCGGCUUUGGGAUGGAGGACUUCUCUUAUGACAGAACGAAGGGAAAUAAAGAAUGGGUGAUGAAGCUGGAAGCCAAAGGACUUCGGCUGAACAUGUUGACGAAGCUCAAGUAUGAUGAUGACUGAAAGAGGAUAAAGACCAUACAAUCCUUAAUAAUUCAUGUUAAGAUUAUAGAUAGUUGCCAGGGACAUAAAUGUACUUUUAUCCGGGCUGUGUCCCGUGCCUAUAAAUAGAUGAACAGUAACACCGUACUGUUCACGCUGGAUUGUAACUACUCUCGCGUCAUUCUCGCACCCUCACCUUCUGCCAAGCCGUAGGUACCAAUGUAACAUGAAUAUUAUUGAUGUUUAUUCAUGUUUAUGGAAUACGGAAAUAAAUAGAUUAUUAUAUGUAUUCCUUUACUUUCUUUUUUAUAUUUAUAUGCUAAAAUGAUGAAAGUAUGUCCUUCAUGACCUUCGUCUAAAGAUCAUUAUAUCUGAGAGGAAAUGAUGCUUCGAAGGAUGAAGGUCUUUAACCAUUAACAAUUGUGUUGCCUUGUUCUUGAUUUAUAGCAUUUGAGAACAAGUGGCCAACAUUGGCGCCCACCUUCAGUGAACUCGAACGAUAAAGUGCCCCAGAUCCUCUGGGCCUCAAAUGUGAUACAAUUACUAGUCCCAGGAGGCUAGUAAACACAUUUAUACAUCAGAUGAUUCCAGAUCUGCUUAAACGAGACAAACCUAUAAAGGUGGCGAUCAACUUUAAUAGUUGGUCCACAACUCGGGACAUAUCAUCAGAGUGGGGCUGAAGCAGCCCGAUAUACGCAGCGAAGCAAUUCAGCGGUCCAACAGCCACAGGCAAGGUUGGGAACAGUCGUAACUCUUACCCGAUCUCCUUUUUCUGAAAAACAACAAAUAAGCAAGGGUGAGUACAAACGUACUCAGCAGCCCACCUUCACCCGCGGAAUGGGGAAAUCAGAUAUAAUGCAUGGAAUAUCUCGAGCUCAGGAUAUUUUGCAGAAAUAGCAAUAUUUUAUGCAGGGUUGUUUUGUAUAACAUUUUGUAUUUUGCAAAGCGCAUCCUCUCCCAAAGGAGCAGGAAGUUUUUCAAUAUAGAACAAAAUCCCCUGGACUAAACCAUCCAGGUAUCUCAGCAGUUUCCCACUGGUUUUCAUUUUCAAAAACAGCUACUGGACUUCCUGUCCACCAUAGCUCACGGCUCAACCACCGGACCUUUUAAAAACCACUUUUCUCAAGCGCACCUUUUUCUUUGAAAACAAAACACUAAUUGUCAUACCACACCAGACUCGUGCAUUCUUGUGGACACAGACUAUUCGAAUAGGUUUGAACUCUGCGCAGAGGGGUACACUUUACCCACUAGUCCGGUUUCUGCGAUCUCACCGUCGUGAGGCCCGAAUGCCGGAUCUCUUUCUUUCCUCGCACGUCCUAACCUUAACGGUUAUACCGGAAGGAGUCAGGCCACCGCCAUGUCCAAACCGGACAAACAUUCCCCCUCCUUAUCCUCCUGGUGCUCCCCAGCCUUCAUAACCUUGGGGUUGGACCAUACGAGUUCAGAUUGAGUGACUGCCCACACAGUCUCGAGUGGUUGUACUUAUCAUGAGUACAGGUAGUGAAGGAUGACAAACCGGUCCUUAUAUGAGGGGACAAUCCUUCUCCUCACGCCUAAACCAGCUGAGCCAUCACCUUAAGCCCUCUCCUAAGCCAGGGAGUCCCUGAUCAUCUCACUCACAAGGUGAUGAGGGUGAAUACCCUUCAUCAUACACAUUUUGAAACGCAUUUUCUUUUAAAAACUCACACCUUUUCUCAAAUCAUUUGCAACAAAUAUAUCAAGGAUUGAUUGCGGCAAGCGGCUUGGGUGGCCAUAAUAACUUGUCUCAAAAUCAUAUCAUGCAUAAAAUAACAGGUUGAGGGUUGUGGUUGAAAAAUCAUAGGUAAUUUAUGCAUCAAAGAGAUCCAGUGAGCUUGUCGUGCUUAUCCGGCGAAGGGGGAAGGAGAGCUCGCAGAACUGGCUUCUGGCUCCACCGCCUGGCGUAGACUUGCAGAUCUGGCCUCUACGAGACGACACAAACGCUCCGAUAACUAUGCAACAUGAACAAGCAAACAUACAAACCAGCAAGUAUACCAACAAAUAUUUAGUAUAGUGGUCAGAAUAGCGAUAUAUGGAUGGGUAGAGUCUUGAGUAGAAUCUGUGUCAUGUGGUGUUGUGAUAUUACUGGUGGUGGAGCGGAGGUACUUACCAAGAGGGUGGACUGGAGGCGAAGCGACACUAUGCGUGUAGCCGGCAGAGCGGAGUAACUGAGUGGGUGGGGUGUUUGCCUUGGCUGAGGGUGUUGAGUGUGUGUGGAGAGGGAGAGGGUAGCUGGGUGUAUUUAUAGCUGGGUGUAUGUGGUGUAGCAUAGUGAAGUUCACUGUUUGUGAGAAUAGUGACGAAUGAAUCGUCUGACUUAGUAUGAACAGGAGAGUUAUAGGCAGAAUAUGGGACAAGAGUAUUUUGGGAGUUUUCUGGAAUAUGGACCAGGCUUAAGGGAUGACAUGGUUGGAUAGGGAAUAGUUUGAUAAGAAUUUAGAAACAAGAAUUAUUGGAAUCUGAGUUUGGAAGCCUGGUUCGAAGGAGUCUCAAAGUUAAGCAUGCUCAACUUGGAGAAAUCUGGGAUGGGUGACCAGAUGGGAAGUUCCCUACUGGAAUGAAAAUCACAGUCACCAAGGUUCAUAUGAUUGGAAUAUGGGUCUGGCUGGUCUUAGGUGGACUGGACAUCAUGAUAGAUGAGUAGUUGAAAUUUGGGGUGAUCGGAUGAUCGAUGAAUAGCAACGAUGAAUAGUAAUGGUGAAUAGUAAUGAUGAAUAGUAAUGGUGAAUAGUGAUGGUGAAUAGUUCGUAUGAAUGAACGAUGAAGGGUGAAUAGGAACUAUGAACGAACGGACGAACGAUCGAAUGAUCGGACGAACGAAUGAUCGGAAUUUCGGCAGCAUAAUGGCAGGACAAAGAUUAUCUGGAAGAACGAUGAAUAGGGACUAUGAAUGAACGAAGAAGGAUGAAUAGGAACUAUGAACGAACGAUGAACGAUCGAAUGAUCGAAUGAACGAACGAUCGGAAUUUCGGCAGCAUAACGGCAGGAAAAAGAUUAUUUGGACGAACGGACGGACGAACGAUCGAAUGAUCGGACGAACGAACGAUCAGAAUUUCGGCAGCAUAACGGCAGGACAAAGAUUAUCUGGAAGAACGAUGAAUAGGGACUAUGAACGAAUGAUGAACGAUGAAUAGGUACUAUGAACGAACGAUGAACGAUCGAAUGAUCGAUCGAACGAACGAUCGGAAUUUCGGCAUCAUAACGACAGGAAAAAGAUUAUUGACUGCCGCCAUCAUCACCGGCAACAUGCCCCCUUCCCCCUUGUCGUGUCUGCUGCCGCGUGUCACCUGCUCCAUCACCGCCACUCCGCACCCGAGCAACCCCCACUCGCCUAUAAAUUUCCCCCCACCAGCUCCCUCAGUUCCCAUCCAAAGCAAAAACACACCAGAUAAAAACCCCCUGCCAAAUCGCAAGCAACUCCAUUUUCCACUCCCUCGCCCCUAAGAUCACAAUGCUUGGUGAUUCUUGGGUUGAAGACUAUUGCACAUGGUUCAUAGUCUUUGGUUUCCUCCUCUGUAUGAUGGUAAUACUCUUUGAUAGAAUCCUCCAGUGGGAAGAGCAAAGAGAAAGAAAGGGUCAGUGAAAAUAAGAUAGUGAAGAGAAGAUAAGAAGAAGGUUCUCCUAGAAUCAACCCUGUGACAGUCAUCUCUCUGCAGCCUGGUCAAGCAGCAACAGCAGAAGAAGGCCCCGUAACACCCUUGUUAUGAGGUACUUCAAGGAGUUCAAAUCCCCGAGAUUCAAGAGUUCUACCCUCAUUAUUUUUAAGUGGGGUAGUGUUCCAGUAAGGUUCCUGCUAUGGAGAAAAAGAAGAAGGCCUGUAGCAAGCCUAUGGAGGACCCGAUCAUCCAAGCAUAUAAGUUUCUGGAUGAGAAGUGGUCAGCCAAGUUUUGUUGAUGAAGCACCAGAAGACCAAUCAAGGAAGUGAUCCAUGUGGGAGUUCGCAAGAGAAAGGUUUGCAUGUUGGCAUCAAUGCUUCCUCAAUAAGCUAGCUGCCAAGCGAAACCUAGAAGCCUGAAGAUGAUUCUCUGAGUAGCCAAAAUCAGCGUUUGCAAUCAGCAACCAGAUGCCCCUCAAAGGCCAGAUUUUGUUGAAGUUCCAUCUCCUCGAAGAGUUGCAAAGUGAAGAUAUGUAGCUGAAGUAAAGCUAUACCCAUAACCCUUCUAAGCCGAAUCUCGAGGACGAGAUUCCUUUUAAGUGGGGUAGAUUUGUAGCAUCCCAAAAAUUCAAAUCUUGAAAUUUUCUCAAACUUGCUCUAAAUUCAAAAUGAAUUUUAAAAUUCGUUUCAAAAUGUUUGUUUGUGAGUUGAUAUCAGCAAAUAAAAUAUAGUGGUCUAUAUUCUCCCCAAAAUCCUCCUCAAAAUAUCCUACAAAUAUUUCCCCAGUGAUCACCCUCAAUUUCUUUUCAGAAAUACUGCCCAAAUAUUUCUCCAAGUGACCCCCCUCAAAUUCUUCCAGAAAUACCGCCUAGAUAUUUCCCGAGUAAUCCCCUUCAAGUUCUUUCUAGAAAUAUUGCCCAAAUAUUCCACCGAUAAUCCUCUAGAUAUUUUCUUCCUGAGAAAUACCUUCAGAAUCAUUUUUCAAGUCCCUAUAAAUAUUUUCUUCAUAACUUUCCUCAUGCUCAUACGUAUACAUAUGCCUCCAGUGUCAUACGGUGAGCUCUACAAGCUAAUCUCACUUAUACAAGACAAAUACAUGCUAAUCUCCCACUAAUCCUCUCAUCCUCCCACUAAUCCUCUCAUACCUCCCCCUAAUCCCCCACCAUGGCUAUAAAUAGAGGGGCAAGGGCCUACUCUCAUCCCACCCCAAGCCAUUUCAUGGCAACUCUCUUCCCCCCCACACACCCACUCCAUGUUCCACACAAGCACACAGUAGCACAAGGAUCGUUCGGUCGUUCUUCGAUCGUUCGUCCCCCUAUUCUUAGUUUGUUUGUUCGUUCGUCCGAUUGUUCGAUCGUUCGUUCGAUCGUUCAUGGUUCGUUCGUCCGUUCGUCCGAUCAUUCAAUCGUUCGUUCGUUCGUUCGUCCAAAUAAUCUCCAGUGGGUGCGCUGCAAAGGGGGUGGGUGUCAGUAGUGCACUGCAAAGGGGGCAUGGGCGGUGGUGCUAGUGCGCAUGGAGGUGGGCACGCAUGCGGGGGGGCACGGGUGAGUGGUGGGGUCAAUGACCCUGAUGUUUGUGGUCUCUGGUUCCAAGAAUCUUUGCCUCUCUGUAUGGUAAUAACUCAUUUUUUCCUCUUUUCCUGUUUACUUUGACUCAGGGGCAGUGCUUUGAUUCUCACGGUCGGACCUUUUGAUUGAGCGCCUGGACUGGUUUCUUCUGUAGUUUAUUCCAUGCUUCAAGGGUAAUCUUCCCGGUAUCUUCUUGGGUAAGGCACUUUUCUCUUGAGAAGGGUUAAGAUGAGAAUGGAAGCAUAAGGUGAGGAUUAGCUCUAAUUUGUGAUCUAUGUUUUUAGAGAAAACCUUUCUUAAAAGAAAUAAAACACACAAGCUCAGCAAUGAUAAGCACAAACAAAUCAAAUAUUUUGAAUAAGGGAGGAAUAGAGUUUUCCAAAUCAUGAACUACUUGGAUUUGGGGGGCUAAGCAUAACUACUAUUGCUCAGCUCCUGAAUUGAGAACUAUGCUAAAUGCGACUUAUGAGCACUAACGUUAAAGCAUCACAUAUGCACUCAAAAGAGGAUAAAACAUCAAGCGAAAUUCAUUUUGAAAUGCCCUAGGGGGCCACACAAUUAGAGUUUUUCGAAACACGAGACUACACGGUUACCUCUCAUACAUGUAGGGCUCUAGCCAAAGUGAAGAAAAACUUCACUACCUAAUGCAUGCAGAGGACUGGGCAUAACUAACUCAGAUCUGGCAGAUUCUCUUCUAGCGAGCCUGACACACAACUUCAAUCUGAGACAUCUCCUGGAUGGGUCAACAGGGAGCUGAUGUUGAUGACUUCUUCUAGCGGCGACUGAGAUGGCAGGAUGGGGUCAAACUCUUCUUCAAGCUGGACUAGCUCUUGUAGCUCCUCAGAGGGCGGCAGUGCUGGCGGGGUGCUUGCAACUUCUUCCUUGAUCUCACGGGAUGGUGCUGGAAUCUUCUUCAUGGUGAGGGGCUCAAACAACAAUGGCGAGGGAUCUUGGGAGGACUCGGGGUGCUCUUGCUUAUCCAUAGCCUGAGGGAAGACUGGAAUUCCUUCCAAGACUAUGGCUCCUUUCGGUAGUUCCCAAGCCUUCUUCUCUCCUCUGAUAGAGACCGGGUGACCUUCAUGAAUCUGGGGAUCUUCAGCUCUCAUGGGUUGAACUGAGUUGGAUGGAGCGGGCUCUUGGAUCCGCAGGGCUCUACGUUGGUUAUGGUUGACCAAGUAGGCCUUCAUCAGCUUCUGGACAUGCUCAUCCUUGGCUUGCUUCAGGGCAUCAACAGCAAUGACUUCACGACUUUCCAAGGCAGCUACACGAGCUUGAGCUGUGGUGAGAUCCACAUGGAACUGACGGUUGAGCUUCUCUGCAUCUUCUGCUCGAGAAAUCAUCUGAUGGUGGUGCCGAGCCAAGAAAUCAUACUGCGCAUCCAGGGUGAGGAGGUAUGCAGUGAGGUACACGACUGUGGGGUCGUCCUCAAGCAGCUGCUUCCCUUCCAAUGCACGCAUCCUGGCCAUCCAAACUGGACGGUCUCUCUGAAAGGGCGGAAAGAAUCUGAGCGGGGUGCCGGCCACUUCUUCUUCAUAGAUCUGACACAGGGUCCUCAAUGCCUUGCGGGCGACGACUUCGCAGGUGUCUCUGAAUCUGUGUCCCGCAGCAGUGACACUCCAUUCCACAUGGUGCGGACUGGAUCCAAUGUAUACAGUCAUGUCACACUUCUCUGUGCCAUUCUCGAUGAAUUCACGACCAUCAUACUCUGGCUGACUCCUGAUUCCGAGGCGAACUGUGCAUGCUCUCAGUAACUUGGGGAAACCAUCUUCAUUCUGGCACAAGCUGGUUUGGCAGCGGACCUCCAUCUGACUUCUGAGAGAAGGAAAGGGGAAAGCAUUUUUGAAAUGAAGGGAUGAGAACAAGAAUUUUUUUAAGAAAAUAGUUUUGACUCAAAAAAAUUUGGAUCAGGCUAAGGGUUACGUCCUGCGGCCAACCUAACAGCUUUGAUACCACCUGAAGCGCCCCAGAUCCACUGGGACUCAAAUGUGAUACAAUUACUAGUCCCAGGAGGCUAGUAAACACAUUUAUACAUCAGAUGAUUCCAGAUCUACUUAAACGAGACAAACCUAUAAAGGUGGCGAUCAACUUUAAGAGUUGGUCCACAACUCGGGACAUAUCAUCAGAGUGGGGCUGAAGCAGCCCGAUAUACGCAGCGAAGCAAUUCAGCGGUCCAACAGCCACAAGCAAGGUUGGGAACAGUCAUAACUCUUACCCGAUCUCCUUUUUAUGAAAAACAACAAAUAAGCAAGGGUGAGUACAAACGUACUCAGCAGCCCACCUUCACCCGCAGAAUGGGGAAAUUAGAUAUAAUGCAUGGAAUAUCUGGAGCUCAGGAUAUUUUGCAGAAACAACAAUAUUUUAUGCAGGGUUGUUUUGUAAAACAUUUUGUAUUUUGCAAAGUGCAUCCUCUCCCAAAGGAGCAGGAAGUUUUUCAAUAUAGAACAAAAUCCCCUGGACUAAACCAUCCAGGUAUCUCAGCAGUUUCCCACUGGUUUUCAUUUUCAAAAACAGCUACUGGACUUCCCGUCCACCAUAGCUCACGGCUCAACCACCAGACCUUUUAAAAACCACUUUUCUCAAACACACCUUUUUCUUUGAAAACAAAACACUAAUUGUCAUACCACACCAGACUCGUCCAUUCUUGUGGACACAGACUAUUCGAAUAGGUUUGAACUCGGCGCAGAGGGGUACACUUUACCCACUAGUCAGGUUUCUGCGAUCUCACCGUCGUGAGGCCCGAAUGCCGGAUCUCUUUCUUUCCUCGCACGUCCUAACCUUAAUGGUUAUACCGGAAGGAGUCAGGCCACCGCCAUGUCCAAACCGGACAAAACAUUCCCCCUCCUUAUCCUCCCGGUGCUCCCCAGCCUUCAUAACCUUGGGGUUGAACCGUACGAGCUCAGAUUGAGUGACUGCCCACACAGUCUCGAGUGGUUGUACUUAUCAUGAGUACAGGUAGUGAAGGAUGACAAACCGGUCCUUAUAUGAGGGGACAAUCCUUCUGCUCACGCCUAAACUAGCUGAGCCAUCACCUUAGGCCCUCCCCUAAACCAGGGAGUCCCUGAUCAUCUCACUCACAAGGUGAUGAGGGUGAAUACCCUUCAUCAUACACAUUUUGAAACGCAUUUUCUUUUAAAAACUCACACCUUUUCUCAAAUCAUUUGUAACAAAUAUAUCAAGGAUUGAUUGCGGCAAGCGGCUUGGGUGGCCAUAAUAACUUGUCUCAAAAUCAUAUCAUGCAUAAAAUAACAGGUUGAGGGUUGUGGUUGAAAAAUCAUAGGUAAUUUAUGCAUCAAAGGGAUCCAGUGAGCUUGUCGUGCUUAUCCGGCGAAGGGGGAAGGAGAGCUCGCAGAACUGGCUUCUGGCUCCACCGCCUGGCGUAGACUUGCAGAUCUGGCCUCUACGAGACGGCACGAAUGCUCCGAUAACUAUGCAACAUGAACAAGCAAACAUACAAACCAGCAACUAUACCAACAAAUAUUUAGUAUAGUGGUCAGAAUAGCGAUAUAUGAAUGGGUAGAGUCUUGAGUAGAAUCUGUGUCAUGUGGUGUUGUGAUAUUACUGGUGGUGGAGCGGAGGUACUUACCAGGAGGGUGGACAAGAGGCGAAGCGACACUAUGCGUGUAGCCGGCAGAGCGGAGUAACUGAGUGGGUGGGGUGUUUGCCUUGGCUGAGGGUGUUGAGUGUGUGUGGAGAGGGAGAGGGUAGCUGGGUGUAUUUAUAGCUGGGUGUAUGUGGUGUAGCACAGUGAAGUUCACUGUUGGUGAGAAUAGUGACGAAUGAAUCGUCUGACUUAGUAUGAACAGGAGAGUUAUAGGCAGAAUAUGGGACAAGAGUAUUUUGGGAGUUUUCUGGAAUAUGGACCAGGCUUAAGGGAUGACAUGGUUGGAUAGGGAAUAGUUUGAUAAGAAUUUAGAAACAAGAAUUAUUGGAAUCUGAGUUUGGAAGCCUGGUUCGAAGGAAUCUCAAAGUUAAGCAUGCUCAACUUGGAGAAAUCUGGGAUGGGUGACCAGAUGGGAAGUUCCCUACUGGAAUGAAAAUCACAGUCACCAAGGUUCAUAUGAUUGGAAUAUAUGUCUGGCUGGUCUUAGGUGGACUGGACAUCAUGACAGAUGAGUAGUUGAAAUUUGGGGUGAUCGGAUGAUCGAUGAAUAGCAACGGUGAAUAGUAACGGUGAAUAGUAACGGUGAAUAGUAAUGGUGAAUAGUUCGUAUGAAUGGACGAUGAACGGUGAAUAGGAACUAUGAACGAACGGACGAACGAUCGAAUGAUCGGACGAACGAACGAUCGGAAUUUCGGCAGCAUAACGGCAGGACAAAGAUUAUCUGGAAGAACGAUGAAUAGGGACUAUGAAUGAACGAAGAAGGAUGAAUAGGAACUAUGAACGAACGAUGAACGAUCGAAUGAUCGAAUGAACGAACGAUCGGAAUUUCGGCAGCAUAACGGCAGGAAAAAGAUUAUUUGGACGAACGAACGGACGAACGAUCGAAUGAUCGGACGAACGAACGAUCAGAAUUUCGGCAGCAUAACGGCAGGACAAAGAUUAUCUGGAAGAACGAUGAAUAGGGACUAUGAACGAACGAUGAACGAUGAAUCGGUACUAUGAACGAACGAUGAACGAUCGAAUGAUCGAACGAACGAACGAUCGGAAUUUUGGCAUCAUAACGACAGGAAAAAGAUUAUUUGGACGAACGAACGAACGAACGAACGAUCGAACGAUCGGACAAAUGAACCAUGAACGAUCGGACGAACGAUCGAACGAUCGGACGAACGAACGAACAAACUAAGAACAGGGGGGACGAACGAUCGAAGAACGACCGAACGAUCCUUGUGCUACUGUGUGCUUGUGUGGAACAUGGAGUGGAUGUGUGGGGGGGAAGAUAGUUGCCAUGAAAUGGCUUGGGGUGGGAUGAGAGGAGGCCCUUGCCCCUCUAUUUAUAGCCAUGGUGGCGGAUUAGGGGGAGGGAUGAGAGGAUUAGUGGGAGGAUGAGAGGAUUAGUGGGAGAUUAGCAUGUAUUUGUCUUGUAUAAGUGAGAUUAGCUUGUAGAGCUCACCGUAUGACACUGGAGGCAUACAUAUACGUAUGAGCUUGAGGAAAGUUAUGAAGAAAAUAUUUAUAGGGACUUGAAAAAUGAUUCUGAAGGUAUUUCUCAGGAAGAAAAUAUCUGGAGGAUUAUCGGUGGAAUAUUUGGGCAAUAUUUAUAGAAAGAACUUGAAGGGGAUUACUCGGGAAAUAUCUGGGCGGUAUUUCUGGAAGAAUUUGAGGGGGGUCACUUGGAGAAAUAUUUGGGCAGUAUUUCUGAAAAGAAAUUGAGGGUGAUCACUGGGGAAAUAUUUGUAGGAUAUUUUGAGGAGGAUUUUGGGGAGAAUAUAGACCACUAUAUUUUAUUUGCUGAUAUCAACUCGCAAACAAACAUUUUGAAACGAAUUUUUAAGUUCAUUUUGAAUUUAGAGCAAGUUUGAGAAAAUUUCAAGAUUUGAAUUUUUGGGAUGCUACAAACGACCACCUUCGGCAAGCAUCCACCUUCGUCAUGUCGCCGAAGAAGACAACAGCGCCAUGGGCUGCACUACAGCCACUGGACACAAACCAAGAGAUGCUCCCCCUCCGAGAAGCUAGGACUCAGAAGAGAAAAGCCACCAGGCCAACACUUGAAAAGGAGGAGUUGGACCAAGAGAUCAGGGAUCUGAAGGCCAUCCAUCAACAAGCACAAAGGAAAAAGGAGAAGAUGCUCCGGUUGGCCGACCUCCAGAAGAGGAUAGACGAAGCCGCUGAGGAGAUGCGUCAUCGUACUCAAAAUGACCAAGACCGAAGGCCUCAGCACAGGGAGCUUCGUCAGGAAAGCCCAUUCAACGAAGACGAAUGGUAUGACGACUUCCAUCAUGGUAACUUUACUUUUGAUAAUGCUUCUCCCCUUGCAGCAGAAUUGCAGGCUACCCCAUGGCCACCAUCGUACAAGCCACCUCAGCUCCCCAUGUAUGAUGGACAUUCAAAUCAGAAGCAGUUCUUGAUGAGUUACGAGGCCACCAUAUCCUCGUACGGGUACAACACUGCUGUCAUGGCAAAAUCUUUCGUCAUGGCAGUUAGAAGUGUGGCUCAGACAUUGUAACACCCCUGGUGUUGCUGGCACUAAAACUUGAGCAUAACAUCAUAUGCAUUGACAUUUCAUAUUGCUUGUCACACCUAGAAUGCAUUCACUAGGUAAAAUUUCAAACAAGUUGUGAUGUUAUGAUUUGAUGUUUGGUUAACCCUAGGAUAGGAUACUUAACCCUAGAUUAGGGCUUAGAGAUGUAAGUGAAGUCAAGAUGAGUAAAAAUCUCAAGAGACAUUAAAAAUGUUCACAAGAUAUCAUAAUGGAUGGACUUUUGUGGCACAAAAACCCUAAUGUGCCUAAAACCCUAAAAACAAACCCUAGAAACCCUAAUUGAAACCCUAGGGGGGUAGAUGUAAAUUUUGUGCACUUUUGGACCAAAGUGCAAGUACCAAAGUAAAAGAUCACCUAAACCAAAUAUCUUUCAUAUUGGAGAAUUUGCAAGUUGAAUAGUGGAAUUUGGACCUAUUUGCAAAAAGUACCCCAUGAACUCUAUGAGCCUAAGUCUGAAUUCAGUUGAAUGGGGUCAACUUUGGAGCUCUAUAUCUCAAAAUUCUUAAGGAUUUUGUUCUAGAUCAAUAUAGCAAACUUGUAAAGCUAUGUUAGGGGUACAAGUUUUGUUGAGUAACUAAGCACUAGUGUUGUACAAAAAUGGGAGAUAAAUAGGUUUAAAGUCGGGAUGUCAGUCACCACUGAAACUUGAAAUGGAUCUAACAGUAAGUUUUGAUGAACUUUAGACCUGAUUCAAGCUCGAUUGAGUAAGUGAAUGAUCAAGGUUGCUAUAGCAAAAUUUAUGUUGGAUUAUAGAUCAAUAACUUUGAUACAGGAAGAUCAGUGGGCUAUCACAUAAAAAUUGGAGAAAACUGCUCCUCAACUUGGGCUGUCAGAACGACUGAAGGUGGUGGCCAUGGUACAGUACUAAAAAAAUCUUCAGAUUCAUCCCCCUCGCCGUCGGUGACCUCCGCGCAAGGAUUUGCGCUGAUCGCGGUGAUUCGUGCAGGACUCGGGAAUGAUAGUACCGGGGGGUGAAAAGAUCGGAAGGGGAGUGGAUUUGGUCGCGGGGUGAAGCUUAUCAACCGCGCCAGUAGCCAUGCGACGUGGCCGGACCGUCGGUGUCGUCGUGGUACUCCGGCAACCUCAGUUACUCCACACAGUGGCUCUUUACCAUGUAGUAGUAAUCGUGGCGCGCCUGGACUUGCCAUUUUAAGAGCCGUUGCACCGACAAGCACCACGACUGAACCGCCAGUGAUCUUCCCUCUCUCCGGCCACUAGCUUUCAUUUCCAAAAUUCAUAGUUGCCGCUUAAGGCCCCUAUAAAUUGAUGGCUCGGUCUACUGCGCCAUGUUGUCACGAAGCCAGAGCACCCACUCCCAUCUUCGAUUAGCCACCAUAGCCGGAGAAUUUCAUUCUUCCCCCAAAUCGGUUGUCUGCUCCACCGUGAGACGUCGCGCCGUGGCCAGCCACCUCUAGGUCCACCCUCGCUCUCCCUGUCCGUGUUUCAGCACCCACUCGUGCUUGUAUGGCUCGUCGGCUCGACCCAUUGAGCUAGAUCGCGCUCAAUCAACCGGAACACAUUGAUAUGUAUAUGGUGUUUGCUGUCGUCGUGGGUGGGAGAAUCCAGGGCAGGAUUGGUUCGAUUAAGGCAUGGUUUAGGUUCACCUCAGGUCAGGGAUGCUAGUCUGACACUUAGUUGGGUCAGUCGACGCCGUUCAUGGCCGGUUUUAGCAAAGGGGUGGUCGAUGACAAGCGCGUCGUGGCCAAGGAUCGGGUUGGAGAAGAAACAGAAGUCGAAGGACCUUCGUGCAAUCGUCUGUGAGACACUGAAUAGUGGUAAGGGGUACUUCACCGAUUAUUUGAUUAACCAAGGCCUUUUCACAAAGUCGACAGCGCGGUCGCAGGAGCGCCCGCGUUCUGUGUAGACCUAGGCCGGCUGGGCUGGUUUUGGCCCAACACUGUUGAUGGCUUUUUCCUUUUCUUUUUCUAAUUAAGUUUGAAAAUAUAUAUAAAAUUUCACAAAAAUGAUAAAAAUAUGAGACCAGUUUUACUAGACUCCUAAAUUCCUAUAGUAUUUAAUAAAAAUAGUUGCAAGAAUUUUAGUCCAAACCAGGAACUAUUUAGUAUUUAAGAAGGCCAAAACCUAGACCUUUAGAAUUUUAGAGAUUAUUUGAUGACUCCAAAAAUCAUAAAACUUUUUGGAUAAACUUAAUUUGAUAAUUAGAACCCAUGGGUGAAGUUUGACAUGUGUUGAGCAUUGUUUGAUUCCUAAACCCAAAACCCUAGCUCCUUAGGGUAAAACUGUCUAACCCUUCUAGGGUGUUGACCUAGAAUACCCUAGUUUCCCUGGUGCACUGUGAAGGAAAGUUGUAUUCAAGAUACAACUUGAUGUAUCUCUACUAUCAUUGCAUUUUCAUAAGCAUCACAUGAGCAUUCAUGGUUUUAUAUGGUGAUGUAUAGAAAACGAGGAAGAAGUGAAUGUUGAAGAAGAGGAGACUGCACGACCAUCUGAACAUCCACCUGUCGGAAACUGUUUUUAUUUUGAUAUCUAUGGAACAGAGCCCGACUCCCCUACAACACAAGGCAAGCCCUGGUGCAUUUGCCACCUCCUUGCUAUUUUAAAUCUUUAUCACCUUAUGUGAUGCAUUAGGUGAUAGGAGUUGUGUGCUAAACCAAUUGCUGCAUUUCCUUCCUUGGAACUGUUUACCAUUCCUUGAUUACCUAUUUUAUUAAAAGGUUUUCUGAUGCUUAGUCCUACUUUAGAAAAAACAAAUGUUUUGUUUUAAAACAAAAGGUGAUGCUUCACAGUGGAUGUGAUGUUUUCAAAAAUAAAACUUGAUGGUGGAUCCAUCAUAGCCAUGAUGGGUUCAACAUUGGACAAGAUGUACCUCUGCCAGGUACCAAACUUUGGGUUUUUAAAUGAUAAAGUUGAGACCGGGCGGGUGACUUGCACGAGAAGAGAGUCUCGGUGUAGUGUCUCCGUCUGAGUCGAUUAAGGACCGUACCGAUGUGGGCCUGAUGAUUGAGGACCUUUUAACUGGUCACAUGCCUCAUCAUGGGUAAGCUUUGCCUCGGGCAGACUAAUACCAGAAAGGCCAACACGCAAUGGGAGUGGAGAGAUGGCGAGAGUAGCGUGUACCCUCCGUGGAAAGAGGCUGGACGAUGGUGUAUCUGUGCUCUCGGUUGGCGUGAACCCGGUCUGGUCUUAAGAAACCUAGUGGCAAGUUGACAUAUGCAAGGGUUAAGUGCUACAUAUGUCGUGUGAUUGGAGAUCCUUAGCUGAGUAUUAAUCGAUUCGGAUCACCGUUACUUCUCGGAUAUGAAGACUUGGUCACUGACUUACACGUAGCAUUCCAGUGAACUAAAAGGGUUGAUAAAAGAUGGCUAGUGUAGGUCCAGUGCUUGAACUAGGGUAGAAAGAACUCUAGUUACAUGUAAUAACUGAACAUGCUAAUAAAACUGGAUUUUAAGGAUCCACUUUUAGUAAGCAUUUCUGCGAAACAGAGUCUUUAAUACUUGAUUAGCCUUACCUUGACUCCCUCAAACCAGCAUAUCUUUGAGAGUCUUUUGUUUUGACGGGUAAGACUUGCGAAAGUACACUCCGUACUCAGGGUUUUCGAACCCAUGUUGUUGUAGGUGAGGAAACAUCAGACUUUUGCUGUUUUUGUUCUAAGGUGGUGCCCAAGGAAGAACCUCAGCAAUGAAGUCGCGGGAGGAUGUUGGCCUCCCACUUGAAAAACAAUAUACUUUUAUGCGGGAGGGGUUUUUCCCUCCCAAGUCUGUAAUAAUAAUACUUUAUGCACUCGUACACCCUGGUUUUGUAAUAACAAUAAUACUUUUUCUCUAUAUUUGAAUGAAUGUAAAUUAAGUUAUUGUAAUUACUUCCGCUAUACUUUCCUCCGAUGUGAUGUAAUAUCUGCGUGACGGGUGAAGCUCCCUUGGGCGAGGAAAUGUGGAUACAGUUACCAAACUUGUCAAGUAAUUAUGUGCAUCUACAGGGUUGUCCAAGGUCCAUUGGACAAGGACAACUGUAGGUGGGCCUAAUAACUUGGGAGGUUCCGUCACAGCUGGUAUCGGAGCGAAACCCAUCUCUUCAGAUAUUAUGAAGCACUUCAAAAGGAAUUUUCAAAUACUUAUCCAGAAGUAUUCUUUCAUUCUUACCUUGCCACUUUCUAGAAGCUCUCAUCUUAUAAGACCAGGUAAUAGAUUGCAAUAUAUAUGAAGUUGGGGAUCAACGAGGAUUGAUUCUGUAAGUACUGGGUUAUGCAUGCAUCAUGUUUAAAAAUUGUACUAAUAAAUCUUCCCCUCUUAUGGAGAUAUGGCACGUACGAGGAAAACCGCGCGCAAGUCCACUGGACCUUUUGGCGUGCCUCAUCAUCAGUUAGCCCCCAGACAUGAAGGGAGCACCAGCGGCACCAACGACCCCAUCGGAUGGAGCUACGUCACUGAAAUAGGGUGUGGGCACAGGACAGUCAGCGUAUAGCUGAAUUGUCAGCUGACGUCAGACGCUUGCAAGACGAGCUUUCUGAACGGGAUUUGGCGGUUGAUUGGGCCGUCAACUCACGUUCGGUUGCUUGGGACCGCGAAGCAAAAGCUCGAGCUCGUGUGACUGAGCUUAGUGCGGCCCUCGACAGUCUGCAAGUAUACUGCAAUACUUUAUAUGAGGAAGUACAUGUAUUGUAUGCUCGACUACACCCGGACGUACCUUCCGACACUGCUGCAAUGGGAGCCGGAUCGUCGGGAACAGCAAACAAAGGACAUGAUGAGGAGUUGGACCUUUUUAAGCCUCCUCCUUCCAUGAACCUUGCUAACGAACGGUCUCCUGCGACAGGAAAUGGAGCGACAAAGGAUGAUGAAGACUAGAAUAGUAUAGUUUAGAUACUAUACCUAUGUAAAAUAAGUAAUGAAGUUAGGUUGCGUCGGAGUCUAUAUAAUUACAUUUUGGUAAUGUAAUAUGAUGGUAUGUGUUGGCAUGUUAUACUUUUCAAAUGUUUCUUUGCCUCAGAUGCCAUCACGGACUCGCGCGCAUGACGGUGCGGGGACUUCCCGUGGUCGGGAAGAUACUCCUAAUCCAUCGCUGGUACCACCGGCGCUGGCCGAGGCUAUCGCUACCUUGGUCAAUGCUACUGCAGAUAAUACCCGCUUCUUGCGUGAGAUGGUGGGUAAUCAGUUACAGCAACCUGGAGCCAGAGCUCCUCCGCAAGGACCUCAUGAAACUAUGUACCAAGAAUUCUAUGAGACACGUCCCCGCUCUUUAUUAAAGGAGAAGACCCUCUAGAAGCUGACGAGUGGAUAAGAGUAAUGGAGCAGAAGUUCGGAUUGGUCUGUUGCACAGAGAUACAGAAGCCAUUAUUUGCUGCCUAACAACUGAGAGGGCCUGCCAGUACAUGGUGGGCGAAUUUUGUAGCAGUUCAACCGGCUGGACAUCAGAUCACUUGGGAAGAAUUUAGACUAGCCUUCCGUGAACACUAUGUUCUAGAGGGAGUGCUUCACAUGAAACAAGAGGAGUUCAUUCGACUAAAGCAAGGGGGAGAUAUUGUAAUGCAGUAUCUCAACAAGUUCAAUCAUCUGUCCCAGUAUGCUAUCGAUCAAGUAAAUACUGAUCUGAAGAAAAAGAAUUGCUUCAUGAGGGGACUUAAUGACAGGCUUCAGAGGAAAAUGGCAAUCUGUCUAGAUCUUACUUACAGCAGAGCUGUAAGCAUGGCAUUGGCCAUAGAAGCCAAGAACACAGGCCAUGGAAAAUCAAAGGGAUUUGGAGGUGACAGGUCUAAUCAGGGACCUAAGAAGCGAACCAGGUUGGUAAUCCGACAUUUUAAUCAGAAUCGUUCUUCACCUCGUCCACCCUCCUAUCCGUUCAAACAGCCUGUUUUCAUUCGUCCUGCCACUGCCCCCGCUUCUACAAAUCAGUCGAGUGCCCCUGGUACUCGUUUCCCUGCUCUCCCUUGUUCUUCUACUAGCUGCUUCAACUGUGGGAAUGAAGUCUGGUCAUUUUAUAAAGGAUUGUCCAUACCCAAGGCAGAAUAAAUUCAACAAUCAGCAGAACUCUGGGAGCUCCACUCAAGGAAAGGGGAACAUGGCUAGUAGCCUAGUACUUCAACGGGCAAAAAUGUCAAGAAAAUAGGACAAAUAUAUUAUACUCAAGUGGCAACAACACCGGAGGGCGAGCCGGUAAUGAUGGGUACGUUCCUUGUGGCCAAUUACCCAGCAGUCAUUCUCUUUGAUUCUGGUGCUUCACAUACUUUUAUAAGCAAGAAUUUUGUGGAAAAGCAUUGCAUUCUUUGCACUGAAUCAAGGGAACGAUUUAUUAUCCAUUCACCUGGGGGACAAAUAUUUACUAAGGAAGUAGCCUUCCAUGUACCAAUAACAUUGGCUGAACGGGAAUUUCCCACCAACAUGAUUGUUUUAAAAGGCCAAGACAUAGAUGUAAUUCUGGGCAUGAAUUGGUUAACCCAGCAUAAAGCUAUCCUCAACACUAAUUCAAGGACCAUCAAGUUCAGCCAUGUUCAUGAAGAGGUUCUCUUGUCCAUCCAUGUAGCUAUCCCAGCCAAACCAUUUGGACGGGUCUAUGGAGCUAUCGUACCAAAAAUCCAGGAUAUUUCGGUAGUAUGUGAAUUCCUGGAUGUCUUUCCUGAAGAUUUGCCUCGGUUGCCUCUAGAAAGAGAUGUAGAGUUUGUGAUUGAACUGAAGCUCGGUACGGCCCCUAUUUCUAGAAGGUCGUAUCGAAUGCCACCUAAUGAAUUGGCAGAACUCAAGACUCAACUUCAAGAUUUGCUUGAGAAAGGAUUCAUUAGGCCUAGUUCGUCACCAUGGGGAUGUCCUGCUAUUUUUGUCAAAAAGAAGGAUCAAACACUUGGAAUGUGCGUGGACUACAGACCCCUUAAUGAGGUCACUAUCAAAAACAAGUAGCCCCUUCCCCAAAUCGAUAUCUUAUUCGAUCAGCUUACCGAAGCUCGGGUAUUCUCCAAUAUUGACCUCAGGUCGGGUUAUCAUUAGAUCCAUAUUCGACCCGAAGAUAUACCCAAGACCGCAUUCACUACACGGUAUGGAUUAUUUGAAUAUUUGGUUAUGUCCUUUGGAUUGACCAAUGCUCCAGCCCACUUCACAUAUCUAAUGAACUCGGUGUUUAUGCCCGAGUUGGAUAAAUUUGUGGUGGUCUUCAUUGACGAUAUCUUGAUCUAUUCCAAGAAUGAAGAGGAGCAUGCUAAACAUCUACGGAUCGUGUUAACGCGCUUAAGGGAACACCAAUUAUAUGCUAAAUUCAGCAAAUGCGCGUUCUGGUUGGAGGAAAUCCAAUUUUGGGGACAUGUAUUAUCUGCAAAAGGAAUUGCGGUUGAUCCCAGCAAGGACAAGGAUAUUCUAGAGUAGAAACCACCAACGACAGUGCAUCAAGUUCGAAGUUUCCUUGGGCUGGCUGGCUAUUACCGCAGGUUUAUUCCGUAUUUCUCCAAGAUUGUGAAACCAAUCACAAGUUUAUUGAAGAAUAAUACAAAAUUUGAUUGGUCCUCAAAAUGCAAUGAAACCUUCGAGCAGCUGAAGGUAUUAUUGACUACUGCUCUGGUAUUUGCUCAACCGGAUAUAGAGAAGCCUUUUGAUGUGUAUUGGGACACAUCAGGCACUGGGCUUGGUUGUGUCUUAAUGCAGGAGGGCCGAAUCAUAGCAUAUGCUUCAAGACAGUUACGCCGGCAUGAGGAGCACUAUCCAACUCAUGACUUGGAAUUAGCUGUAGUUGUUCAUGCCCUCAAGAUAUGGCGUCAUUAUGUGCUGGGAAAUAUCUGCCAUUUGUAUACCGAUCAUAAAAGUCUGAAGUAUAUUUUUACCCAGGCAGAACUAAACAUGAGGCAGAGAAGAUGGCUUGAGCUGAUUAAGGAUUAUGAUUUAGAAAUCCAUUAUCACCCAGGAAAGGCCAAUGUGGUGGCAGAUGCACUAAGUCGCAAGGCUUCCUGCCAUUGCCUUACAGUGAGGACCUCUAACACCACAUUAUGUCAAGAAAUGGAAAAGUUAAAUCUGAGAAUGAUACCAUAGGGAACUUUAAACCAAUUGAAGCUUGAGUCAGUUCUUCUGCAAAAGAUUAUUGAUGCCCAAAUAAGUGAUAAGGGUAUGAAACAUAUUCAUGAGAAAAUAGAAGCCGACAAAACUAAUUGCUUCAGAAAGGAUGAUCAAGGGAUAGUAUGGUUUAAUAAUCGCAUAGUUGUGCCUAAGGAUGUGGGAGUUCGCCAGCAAAUUUUGGAUGAAGCUCAUAUUAGUCGGUAUUCCAUUCACCCUGGAAGUACUAAGAUGUAUCAAUAUUUAAAGCAACACUAUUGGUGGACAAAAAUGAAGAUUGAGAUUGCACGCUAUGUGGCGAGAUGUGACACCUGUAGACGUGUUAAAGCAAUACAUAUGAAGACUGCUGGUCCACUGCAAUCUUUGCCCAUCCCAACUUGGAAAUGGGAGGACAUUAGCAUGGACUUCAUUGUGAGAUUACCCAGGACGACUAAAGGUUUUGACUCUAUCUGGGUUAUAAUUGAUCGACUUACAAAAAUAGCCCAUUUUCUACCAUUUAAGACAUCAUAUCCGGUCCUCACCUAUGCCCAGAUAUAUAUUGCCCAUAUUCUCAGUUUGCACGGAAUUCCAAAGACCAUAGUGUCGGACCACGGACCCCAAUUUGUAUCCAAAUUCUAGGAAUAACUCCACAAAUCUCUGGGUACUAAGUUGCUCCACAGUUCGGCAUAUCAUCCUCAAACAAGUGGGCAAACUGAAAGAGUAAAUCAAAUACUUGAAGACAUGUUGCGGGCAUGUGUUCUGGAGUUCCCACAGAAAUGGGAUGACCGUUUGCCACUGGCAGAGUUUUCCUAUAAUAACAGCUAUCAAGAGAGCAUCAAAAUGGCACCAUUUGAAGCACUGUAUGGGCGACGGUGUUGGACACCCUUAAAUUAGUCAGAACCUGGAGAACGAUGGUAUUUCAGGCCUGACUUAGGCAAGGAAACAUAAGCAAAGGUUCAAUGGAUAAGGCACUAGUUGAAAGAGGCGCAAGCUCGGCAAAAGAAUUAUGCGAAUAAACGACGUCAGCCUCUGGUCUUUCAAGUUAAUGAUUAUGUAUACUUGAAGGUGUCACCAAUGAAGUGUGUAAACCGUUUCGGGGUAAAAGGGAAGCUGGCACCUCAGUAUAUUGGCCCAUUCCUUAUUCUUGAACGAUACGGACCAGUGGAAUACCGACUCCAACUACCCGAAACAUUGUCUCCAGUGCACAAUGUGUUCCAUGUAUCUCAAUUAAAGAAGUGCCUUCGGCUUCCUGAUCGAACCAUUGAUGUGGUGGAUGUUACCUUGGAACCAGACUUAACAUAUUCAGAACAUCCCAUUCGAAUUUUAGACCAAAAGGACCGUAUUACCCGAAAAAGUAUUCUUAAAUUCUACAAGGUACAAUGGAACUAACAUACUCAAGAUGAAGCUACAAUGGAACCAACAUACUCAAGACUACUUGAAAAAGAAUUUUCCUAGGUUUUUAGCUUCAUGUAACCUAUAGGAUAUGUACAUUUGUUUGUAAAGGUGGAAUAGACCCCAUACCUCCCUCUGCCUUGUAAGGCAAUUAAGGAAAUAAAAGUGUGACGUGUUUCCUUUUCCAUUACUCACCCUAAGACCUUAAAUCUCGGGACGAGAUUCUUUUAUGGGGGGAAGGAUGUAACACCCCUAGUGAUAUGCAUUGACAUUUCAUAUUGCUUGUCACACCUAGAAUGCAUUCACUAGGUAAAAUUUCAAACAAGUUGUGAUGUUAUGAUUUGAUGUGUGGUUAACCCUAGGAUAGGAUACUUAACCCUUGAUUAGGGCUUAGAGAUGUAAGUGAAGUCAAGAUGAGUAAAAAUCUCAAGAGACAUUAAAAAUGUUCACAAGAUAUCAAAAUGGAUGGACUUUUGUGGCACAAAAACCCUAAAAACAAACCCUAGAAACCCUAAUUGAAAUCCUAGGGGGUAGAUGUAAAUUUUGUGCACUUUUGGACCAAAGUGAAAAUACCAAAGUAAAAGAGCACCUCAAACCAAAUAUCUUUCAUAUUGGAGAAUUUGCAAGUUGAAUAGUGGAAUUUGGACCUAUUUGCAAAAAGUACCCCAUAAACUCUAUGAGCCUAAGUCUGAAUUUAGUUGAAUGGGGUCAACUUUGGAGCUCUAUAUCUCAAAAUUCUUAAGGAUUUUGCUCUAGAUCAAUAUAGCAAACUUGUAAAGCUAUGUUAGGGUACAAGUUUUGUUAAGUAACUAAGCACUAGUGUUGUACAGAAAUGGGAGAUAAUGUAACGCCCUGAAUUUGGGGGUAGAAUUUUUUCUUCUUUUCUCUCACCAAAUUCGGGCGUUACUCUGUUUUCUCUUCCCGUUCCGCUCCUUCUUCCCAAUUUCAAACCAAUAUAGUGACAGGUGUCUGUGUCGUGUAUGAACAAAACCUAAGUGUCAUGGGUGUUGCAUCAUGCCGAAACACGUUUCUUUGUCUGAUGUCGUGUGUUCGUCUCGUUCCGUUUCGGAUUUCAGUUCGCGAUUUAAUUCCGUUUAAUGGUCGUGCGUGUCGUGGGUUUCGAUCCGCGAUGUGACCCAGCCCAGCCCAGCACGCGCGCCCCCGGCGCCCCACACCUCCCCUCCAGUCCCCGACGGCGCUCGUCCCCGCCCCUCCCCUUCCCCGUCCGGCGCGGCCCCUCCUCUCCCCUCUCCGGCGGCGCUCGGCCUGCCCCUGCUCCCCGGCCCCCCGGCGUGGCUCGGCGCGGGCACGGCCCCGGCGCAAGCGUGUCCCGGCGCGAGCGCGGCCCCUGCGCGGGCGUGGCUCGGCGCGGCCUCGGCGCGCGUCCUCGGCCCCCGGUGACGCGGCGCCGGCCCUUGCGCGCGGCCUCGACCCCCCCUGCACAUGGUCGUUCUAGCCCCGUUGCGCGGCGUCCGACCCUCGGAUUAGUUAGUUUCAAAAUUAGUUUAAUGAGUGUGUUGCGUCGCGCGCUUCGUCGCGCGACGAUUCAAUUCAAGUUCGUAUUUAUCAAUGUGUUGCGUCGCGCGCUUCGUUGCGCGACGAUUCAAUUUAAAUUUGUGUUUAUUAAUGUGUUGCGUCGCGCGCUUCGUCGCGCGACGAUUCUUUUAGUUUAUAUUCAUUAAAGUGUUGUGUCGCGCGCUUCGUCGCGCGACGAUCUAUUUUAACUUCUGGUUGUUUAAGGUGCGAUGUCGCACGUCCAGACGCGCGACGUUCCACUUUAAACUCAGCUCCGUUGGCGUAUGUCGUCGUGCGUUUCGUCGCGCGAUGCUUAACGUCUCUUUAUAAUUAGUGCAAGUGUCUCGUUGUGCGCUCUGACGCGCGGUGAGUCGUUUACUUCUUAAUUCAAUCUAAAUGUUGUGUCGUACGUCUCGACGUGCGACCACUCCCUUUCAGUCAUCUUCAAUUGUUUAUAAUAAUUAAAUGUGGAACUUGACUUUACUUUAUGCUAAAACGUAGUGUCCAAAUUAAUUCCCUUCCAUUGAGCGAGUAAUUUAAUUCAUAAUCAUGUAACGUGAUCAUUUCUCGACUAUCUUUUUCUCUUUCUCUCUUAGCCUUAAUUGCGAACCCGCGUGGAAUGUCUGUUUAUUUACUGCAUUCUAUUGUAUGGUGUAUUGUUCUUUUGUAUUAAAUGUGUGGAUGUAUGUAUGUUUGCGCUCGCAUAGAGAACGAUCCGGUUGAAGAGCCCGAAGAACUCGCAGGAGAAGCCCUUGAGCAGCAGUCGGUUGGUGGAGGCAAGUGUCCCUUGACCUAUCUCUGUCCUAUACAUUCUUUAAUUCACCUCCCGCAUUACACAUUUAUACCUAAGGAUUUACUAGUUUUUGCUAUCUGUGUCCUUGUUUACCUAUUUGGGUUGGAUUAUUAUUGCUUAGUCUUAUGCUAUUGCUCAACUCUAAUCAAUGAACAUGAUGAGAAUUAUCAAUGAUACGUUGUUUUCCCUUCGUUUAUUAUGAUGUUAUACUUGUGGUCUUCAAGGGGGCUCGAGCGGUUUCUCGAGUGUCUCUCCGUAAGGACCUGUUCGUUGGAUGACCGCCCGGGAAAACAGUGCAACCAUGAGGGUGGAGUGGGACGCCCUUAGCUGAAUAAUUAGAGGAACUGGGGUGUAGUUCGCUUAGCCGUCGUGCCGUCAAUGGGGCUCGGUGUAUGCGGCUCGCUCUGCCAAGGUUGAUUUGUCCCUUGGGGAGGAGUGCGGUACAUUUAGGAAACCUAACGGGCGGCUACAGCCCCGGGGAAUCUUUGUAAAGGCUACAUAGUGAUAUCCUGCUGGGUCACCUUGGUAGUGAUCAAUGGAGAGUCAUGAUCUCCGGGCAGAAAGGGAAAUCACGGCUUGUGGGUAAAGUGCACAACCUCUGCAGAGUGUUAGAAAACUGAUAUAUCAGUCGUGCUCACGGUUAUGAGCGGCCAAGGGAGCUCCAAUGAUUAGUGGUACUUGAUCAGAGAUGUUCGGAUU